GCCGAACCGUGCGCCCGUUAUUCGGAUUCACUGGGCUUAAAGGGCGCGUAGGCGGCUCAGCAAGUCGGGGGUGAAAUCUUUCAGCUCAACUGGAAAAUAGCCUCCGAUACUGCUGGACUCGAGGGAGAUAGGGGUGCGCGGAACUUCCGGUGGAGCGGGGAAAUGCGUAGAUAUCGGAAGGAACGCCGGUGGCGAAAGCGGCGCACUGGAUCUUCUCUGACGCUGAGGCGCGAAAGCCAGGGGAGCAAACGGG
rnacentral:rRNA from 1 species